rnacentral:snoRNA from 1 species
AACUAUGAUGAAAACCCUUACUGCUGUUUUUACCGAGCCAACACAUUGAAGAGACAACCAUUUACCUUGGAGAACUGAGAU